rnacentral:lncRNA from 1 species
AGAGACUGAAAAUAAGAAAGGGGUGAGGCCUAAGGGACAAUCAGGAUGUUUUUCAGAGAGAAGUGUGGAUGCUGGACAGGAAGAACCACAGAUACCAGAUACGGCUGCGUAUCUUCUGGAUACGGAAGGAUCACACUGCACAGAGUGCUGGACUUGCAGGAGCCCCGCUUCUCAACCUCCAUCGCUUUAUGAAUGAAUUCACCAGAAAGAAAAGGAAGAAUCAACACUUUCAGAGAUGGAGCCUGUUGAGCCACAGUACCAACUAGUCAAUGCUGAAUCGACUUCUCCCUUUCUACAUUGCCUGAGAGAAGUCAUUGGGGAAUACUCUGUACACGAAUUUUCACUGUUGGGGAAAACAGAGAGUCAAGGGAUUGGAUUGUGGAUUGCAUUGGUGGUUUUCCUCAGUUUCCUCAUCUUCUCCACAAGUUUCUACAUAUCGAAUGCAGAGCAGCCCUUCUUCAAAGGACCUCCUACGGAAGCUGCUAAGGAACUCAGUCUGUAGCUCUGCGUGGAGCCAUGUGUAAACACUGAACUGAGACCUGCCACCUCCUACUACCUAAGGGCCCAUUUUCAUCUGAUAUCAUCCCCCAGAAACAAACUCAUGAUGACUUCCAUGUUUUUUUUAGAUUAGAUACAUGGAGAAUUUUCCUUUCCCUUAGAAUUAAAAUCCUGCAUUCUAAUUUUCA